UAUACUGGGAGAUUGAGAGAUUCGUCUUCGCAACACACACGAGACUUGAUUGCCGGAGAGCGAGAGGAUUCGAUCGUUCCGAAUAGUUACCGCUGUCGUCUUUGUGAUCUACCGGGAUGGUUAGCGUUCAAAAUUUACCAUUUCCCGCUAUCGAAAUUUAAAGAGUGAACAAACGGAAUUCGGUCCGGAAGUUUUCGCGAGUGUCAGUGCCGACUCGAAGCGAGGGCGAGAGGGCCCUCGCUGCAGACGAGAGAAACGACGAUCGGCGGAGCAUCCCCGGAGGUCACCUGUAAGGGUCGGAGUCAAGGAGCGAGCUGCGAAUUUUUAACAUGAAGAGACGCGGUAGCAUCUUGCGCCAAGUGAAGUGAGGAACGGUGUGAGACUGGCUGCGUAUAACUUACGCCGACCAACUAGUUCAGCGCAGAUAUGAGGUGGAAUUAUGUACAAAAACUUUGCGAACUCAUUGGGAUUCGAGAUCUGAUUAAUUAUCAGACAAAAACACACACUGACGAGUAUGUGAUCAAAACUACUUUAAUACAAAAUUAAAAAAUGAUUGAUUGCAGUGUCAAUCUUGUUUCGGUUGGUUGCAUAAAUUAUGCACAAAAUUAGAUAUUCUUCACAUUUGGAAUUAUUUUCUUUAUAUUAUACGUGAAAAAAUAUAUUGUC